CGCGAGCGAGCUUUGCACAGCUUUAAGGAACCAUUUUCAUGUAGCCUAAUUUCUUUUUAAACAGUCUGACUUCUCAGAAGAUCAAAUCCUCGAUUGAAUUUAACCUGGAUCAGAUUCAUGAGUUUAAGGAGGCAUUCCUGCUGUUCGACAGGACAGGAGAUGGGAAGAUCAGCUACAACCAGUGUGGGGAUGUCAUGCGGGCCCUGGGGCAAAAUCC